AUUGAACGCUGGCGGCAGGCCUAACACAUGCAAGUCGAACGGAAACAGGAAGCAGCUUGCUGCUUUGCUGACGAGUGGCGGGGGGGUGAGAAAUGUCUGUGAAACUGCUCUAUGGAGGGGGAUAACUACUGGAAACGGUAGCUAAUACCGCAUAACGACGCAAGACCAAAGAGCGGGAGCUUAGGGCGGCUUGCCAUCGGCUGUGCCCAGGUGGGAUUAGCUAGUAGGUGGGGUAACGGCUCACCGAGGCGACGAUCCCUAGCUGGUCUGAGAGGGUGAACAGCCACACUGGAACUGAGACACGGUCCAGACUCCUACGGGAGGCAGCAGUGGGGAAUCUUGCACAAUGGGCGCAAGCCUGAUGCAGCCAUGCCGCGUGUAUGAAGAAGGCCUUCGGGUUGUAAAGUUCUUUCAGCGGGGAGGAAGGGAGUAAAGUUAAUACCUUUGCUCAUUGACGUUACCCGCAGAAGAAGCACCGGCUAACUCCGUG
rnacentral:rRNA from 1 species